AGCGGAUAUAACUCUCACGCUGGAUGACAAGAGUUACAAACGUUCCGGCGCUGUAGGAUGUGGCUGCGGCCGAUUAGGUAGAUGGUGGGGUAACGGCCCACCAUGCCGAUAAUCGGUACAGGUUGUGAGAGCAAGAACCUGGAGACGGUAUCUGAGACAAGAUACCGGGCCCUACGGGGCGCAGCAGGCGCGAAACCUUUACACUGCACGACAGUGCGAUAGGGGGACUCCGAGUGUGAGGGCAUAUAG
rnacentral:rRNA from 1 species